rnacentral:rRNA from 1 species
GAGAGUAAACAGUGCGUGAAACCGCUCAGAGGUAAACGGGUGGAGUUGAACUGCGAUCCUUGGGAAUUCAGCUGAUGAGCAUGAUUUGUGCUUGGGCAUAUUGACCGCCUUUCAGUGUCUGCUUAACUGCGGGUGCCUGCCUCUGGUGGGUAUGUGUGGUGCGCUUAUCAUGUGCCGCACGCAUUGGAGGGUGUAUGAGUCUGCUUGUCAGUGCACUUUCUCAGGGUGUUCACCACGACCGGCACUGCUGUCUGUCUGCUGUAGUCAAACUGAUCAGGUCUGAUUAACGUUGGGCUUGGUUGGGUUGGCAGGUGACUCACUGGUCCAUUCUGUGGGCUAUGAGUGUUACUAGCCGGCUAUAGUGGAUCUGUACGGUGUGUCGGAGACGGCGGCUUUGCAUAUGCGCUCUGUCCUUCAGGCGUGGUUGAGUCUGGUCGACUUGUUGCUAGUUUCGGCUGGUCAGUUGAUGGCUUGAUCAUGUUCAGUUGGCAGUGGUGUGUGUGUCUUAGUUUGGGCCAAUAGUCUGUGGUGUUGUGGUAGACUAUCCACCUG